GACGAACGCUGGCGGCGUGCUUAACACAUGCAAGUCGAACGGUGAACCUCUUCGGAGGGGAUCAGUGGCGAACGGGUGAGUAACACGUGGGUAACCUGCCCCCGGCUCUGGGAUAACUCCAAGAAAUUGGGGCUAAUACCGGAUGUUCACCGCUUCCCGCAUGGGUGGUGGUGCAAAGGGUUUCCGGCUGGGGAUGGGCCCGCGGCCUAUCAGCUUGUUGGUGGGGUAGUGGCCUACCAAGGCGACGACGGGUAGCCGGCCUGAGAGGGUGACCGGCCACACUGGGACUGAGACACGGCCCAGAAUCCUACGGGAGGCAGCAGUGGGGAAUAUUGCGCAAUGGGCGGAAGCCUGACGCAGCGACGCCGCGUGGGGGAUGACGGCCUUCGGGUUGUAAACCUCUUUCAGCAGGGACGAAGCGCAAGUGACGGUACCUGCAGAAGAAGCACCGGCCAACUACGUG
rnacentral:rRNA from 1 species